AGUGUUUUGACGACUGCCUCACUAAAGGAAGCUAAAAGCUGUGCUGAUGCCUCCCAGACGAGCCUCGUUGGAAGCACAGAACCUUCACGGCUCGGAGCCGCUGACACCGUGACAAAGGGAGCCCUGCUCAGGAGGAAAAGUAGACAAGAGGGAGAAAUUGAGAUUCAAAUAAUCCAACACUCAGGCAGAUUGCCUGCUAGCAUGCUUAUCUCUCAUCAGCACAGUGAGGGAGGGGCCUGUGUCACUUUACAGAUGAGGCAGAGGGUCCCGCAACUCCUUAAGGGUGGAACUAGGAUUGGAAACCACUCCUCCUGGCUCCUCUUUUCCUGCCAAGAGCGCUGCACCAGCUCUGGAGGAAGCCUCAGGAGAGGUUACACAAGUCUCAGCUGCCUGUGGUAUUUGAGUGGCCAUGGAGGAUGGAAUUUAUGCUGCUGGAAUAACUAGAGCCACUGCCCCUCAUCUGCAGAGAAGACACACUAUCUUGCAAUUGCAGAACUCCUGUGCCUCGCUUUCGAAAUUGGUCAUAAGCUGGAGGCUGAUGUUAUCUUUCCUCACCCUUCAGACCCAAGUUCCCCAACUCCUCUCACCGCCCCCAACCACCGCUUUAAUGACCGGUAAACAAGCAGCUAAAUGCACCAUGCACUGAGGGGCUCCAGCGAGGGGAGGAGGUGACUCUUCUGAAGAAGGGCUCCACCUGAGUUACUGAGUCAGCGAAAAGGCACCUUUAUCCAGGCCUAGAGCAAAACGCAAUCAGCCUUCACAGGACUGGUUUCCCAGCCAUGAGCUUGGGGGACAGGGCUGGCUGCAACGGGGGCUGCCAAGGGCCCAGGUUCUGUGCUGGAAACAAGAGCACUCUGGUGGACUCGGAAAUACAGCGCUGAGGGUUCCUGAAAAGGUGUAGGACUUGGGGUCAGAUGGCCUGGUUUUAACUUCCGGUUCUGCAAUCCACAAAGUCUGGGGCCUUGAGAAAGUAAGAAAAUGCCUCCAGUUCUUGGUCUCCUUAUCUGUCCAGAGAUCAAUCUCCACCCUCCAAAUGGACCUAAGGUCUUGGAGAAAGAGCAAAUGAGAGGCAGUUGCACUUUUUCAGGUGUCAGGCUGGAGGAAGCCACUUGAAGAUGAAUCUACCUCUGCCUUAGGAUUGCCUGAUGGCCUGUGCCAUUCCAUGUUAUAUCUACUGAUUUGCUCCCUGUAUUCAAAGAUUUUUUUUUUUUACUUAAUUCUCUCUUACUGACCCUGAGAGUGACCAUAUUUUUAACCAAUUUGGUCUUCAGCCUCAAAACUUAGCUCUUUCCUUUUGUGGUCCCCGAAUCCUAUCACGUGUCAUGGUGGCUGUGAAGAUGUUUGCCAAGCCUGCUGAGAAGGCUCAUCUGUGGCAUCCAAAAGCAGAGAUUUCAACUCUGGACCCCUGUGACCUGCCUUUGUAAUUAUGGAUACCCAGCACUGUUUUGAAAUAUCAGUGGACAUCCAGUUUUUAAAAGCCCUCAGAGCUUUGGGAGACACCCCUUUAUCUCUCUGGCAUGUCAGAGAACCGAUUCAACCCUUCUCAUCUCCUCCUCCUUCCCUCUCUUGGGCCAUCAGGAUGCGGCAGCAACUCACUGUGCAUGUUUUUACAGCUCUUCUCCAGUAAUGCUGCCAUUUCCACUGCAGACCACAGGAUAAAAGGACCGCUUCACCGUGGCCCAGGAUACCCUUUUAAGUAGGAGAGGGAGAAGAAAGUACUGCUUUGAUCUAAAAUUAAGCAAACGUUCUUCAAUAAACCCACCAUGAGACUUGACCACUAAUGGUGACCAGCAGUGGCUUUGUCAUGGCCCUGCCCACUGGGGGCAGGCACAUGCCGGGGCCAGGGCAGGCUGCCAGCUGGUGAGCACGAAUAGGUGGCUGGUGGAGCGCAUGCAGUGGGAAGGGCAGAUGGCUCCAUUUUGAUUUGUUAGCAGGCCACUUCCUCGGAAGGGGCUUUCCCUUCAGUGGGGUCUGCACCGCCAGCCUCAGCUGUCUUGGAGCAGAUGUGUAUAGUUAGAGAUGGGGACCUUUUCACUGUAAAUACUGCUCACAUGUUCCUAGGCUGACUUUACUAUGUGCAGAGCCUCUUCUCAAAUAUCCAAAUCCCCUCUGUUGGGUACUACAGAACAGAUGUUACCCUGCCUCCUAUUACAUUAAUUUACGAACUUUACAUAUGCUGAGUUACGGACCCUAAGCUGUUGCAUGUGCUUGGCUCUUAUGUUCCAAAAAGUACAUUUGUAUGGUUUUGUGGAAACUGUGCUGUUCUGCUUUUGCAGUCUGUGAGAUUCUGAUUUUUUUUUUCUCAUCAGCAAUUAUCCUUGUCUUGGAACAUCAGAGCUUGAAGAAAGGGAUUCUAGCAGCCCACCUCUCUCCUUCCUAAUCCAGAUGGUUAGAGGCUUAGAGAGAGGUGGUGGUUGCUCUGAGUUUACCAGAUUCAGUGACAAACCCCUUCUAAUUUCUAAUCAAUCUGGCAGCCUUCAUUUACCAAAAGUUGACUUUUGAUAGUAUAACUUUUAUACACCGUGAGACAACUUAUUUUAAAAAACAGUUUAGAAAUAUUUAAUUUUUUUUUGAAAGACUUUUUAAGGUCAGGCACCAUGGGUCAUGCCUAUCAUCUCAACGCUUUGAGGACUGAAGUGGGAGGAUCAUUUGAGGCCAAGAUUUCAAGAUCAGCUUGGGCAACAUAGUGAGACUCUGUCUCUAAAAAAUUAAAAAAAAAAAUAGCCAGGUGUGGUGGCGCAUGCCUGUAGUCCCAGCUACUUCGGAGGCUGAAGUGGGAGGAUCCAUUGAGCCUAAGAGAUGGCGAUUGAGUAAGCCAUGAUUGCACCACUGCACUCCAGCCUGGACGACAGAGAUGUCAGAAAAAAAUUAGUUUUAUUAUUAUUAGUUUAUAAUAAUAUUAUUUUAAUAUUAAUAUUAUUUAAUAAUUUCAUAUUAUUUAUUAUUAUUAGUUUUAUUAUUAGCAAAACUGAGUGGAAGGCACAGAGAUUUUCCAUAUUCUUCCUGCCUCUCCAACAAACAUGUCUCCCUCAUUAUCAACAUUUCUUCCCAGAGUGGUACACUUUUUAUAAUUGAUGAUCCUACACUGACACAUCAUCAUCACAAUGAGUUCAUAGUUGACGCCAGGGUUCACUCUUGGUGUUGUACAUUCCAGGCAUUUGGACAAAUGUAUAAUGACAUGACUCCACCAUUUUAGUAUCAUACAGACGAGUUUCACUGCCCUAAAAUCCUCUGUGCUCCACUGAUACUUACUCCUUCAUCCCCUUGCUCCCUCAGCCCCUGACAACCACUGAUCUUUUUAUUGUCUCCAUAGUUUGGUCUUAUUUAAUAUUUUUUGAGGUUGCACUGUUGCCCCAGGACAUCGUAUGAGUAGAGGGUUAACCACCUUAGCCAAGAGUAAUUUGGUCUGGUGAGUUCUCCACCUUCAGGACAAAAGCAUUUCAGAACCAUCCUAACAAUAGUGUUCCCAUAAGUAACCAGACACUGUUUGUAUCCAUAGCAACAUGGCUCCAUGAGCCCUGCUUCCGAGGAGCAGCUGCCCUUCCUGGGCACUGUCAAGAGUUGUUCUUCUCUGACAUCCACACCCUUCUUUACCUGGCACAUACCCCAGCCCAGGCACCAGGCAUCCAGGGCCUUCUAUGGCUGUCCGGAUGCAUUCCUUCACAGCUGGAAUGUGGUUGGCUUGUUGACUUCUGUUCCCAGCAUAGUGAACAGUGGGCACUAUAAGCCAGUAGGCACUCAAUUGAUGAUUCUUCAAUGAAAUAAUUGAUGCCACUUUUAGGUCAGUCUUUCUUGUACGUUACACCUUCUGUUGUUCAACAGAGCCCCACAAUAUCCCAGAACUUGGAGGUCUUAUCUCGGGGUUUCUCAGAUGUUGGAGUACCCAGGUAUCACCUGCUGAGCCAGUUUCCCUGGCCUCACCUGCAGGGGCUCUGAGUCAGUAAAUCUGGGGCAGGCCCAGUACUUUGCAUGUGAGCACAGACCCAGGUGUUUCUGAACCUGGUGGUCCAGGGACUGCUGCAGGAAGGAGCCAAUAGGACUGCAUGCCUUAGAGGCAGUGGGUCUCAUCCAUCCCUAUCUAUGGCACUGACUACAGGCCAUGUCCAGGCCACAUGGGCACAUGCUAUUAUAAUUAUUUUGUGUGAUGGAUGAGUUACAGAACUGGAGCCCUAAGACCUGAGUUCUAGUUUCAGCUCUGCCAGUUGCUGGCUGAUUGAAACUGAACAAGCCACCUGCCUUCCCUGAGACUGUCUCUUCUCCUGUGAAAUUAGGGCAUUAGAAUACAUGAAGACCCCUUUAUGUCCUUAAUAACCUGUAAGUUUAAGAACCUAGGGAAUCUCCAUGCUGGUGGCUGCGGUUAUAUCCCCUUAUCCUCAACUCGUGAAGAAAGAGUCAAAAAUGGCAGCAGGGUUGUGUCAACUGCUCUCCUCAGCAGCUAUCAUAAGGGAAUUGCCUUUGUCAUUUUCCCCAGCCAUCACCACACUCCCACACGGCCACCAUCACCUAAACCAUCUGGCAGUGGGGGUUACCUCCUAAAUCUAAGACGCAGAGACCCACCGCAGGCCUUUCUUUCUGGCUGCCCUCCACUCCCACCCAGAGGCUCAGUUUUGCUGGGCUGCACACCUCCGAGGACUCAGUUCUUUGUGUUUCAUGUUGUUUCAUAUCCACUAGUGUUACAGAAACUGCUGCAAACCAGGGACCAAAAGUCCAUAGGUUCUAAUUCUAGCUGUGACACUAGUGAGAUGAGUGACUGCUGGCAAGUUACUUUAUCUAUCUGACCUCACCUCCCAUGUACAAAAUUGGGUCUGUAUGCACAUUUGUGGUUCUAAAUCCUGGAGUCCAAAUCAGAGUUCUUUGUGCAAAAUAUACGUAGCUAGGUCCUAACCUCGGAGAUCCUGACUCAGUCUGGGGAAAGGCGCAGAUCUUGGGGAGAAAACAACUCUCUAGAAGAGUCUCGCCUUCAGUGAGUGACAAGAUCUCUCCUGUCUCUCGGUUCACAAUGUUACCCUAACUAAUCCAUCCUCUGAUGUCACCUGCUAACAACUUCCCCUGUGGCAUCAAACCAGUAGCCCAUUUGCAGCUAGUACAAACACUUCUUUACAUUUAAGUUUUGUUUACGAGAUUUAGCCUACAAUCAUAGAGGCUGCCAGCUGGGUUUCAAAUGUGUAUGUUCCAUUGCUAAUAGGAAAAACUGCAUCUAUUAGAAAAAUUCUCUCUGGGAGCUGAGCACAGAGGCAGGCCUUGUAUUGCAAACAUUUGAAAAGCCAUAAGCAGGUAUUCUGGACUGUGUUUUAGAUCACCUGAGAACAUUUCUUGAACACUAGUAUUUGCUUAGAGUGACAAACCUAUUAAGUGGUUCUUUCAGGUAAGUUUGCAUCCAAGCAAUGUCGUCUGAAUCGCAGGAGGAAGUCAGGAGUUGUGUCUGGCUUUCUGGCCAUACAAAUGGCAUAUGGGAAAGUCAUUGUAUAUUAUUAAUAUCCUUUGAUGUAUAUUAUUAUGACUUUCUCACGGUAGUAAUGUUGUUGGUUUUUAUUAAUGUUAUUUUUAUAGCAAUGCUAAUAUUAUGAGCUAAAAGUUUCUGAGCAUCUGCUGGGUGCCAAAAAUUCUUAUAAAUGCUUUACAUGCAUUAGCUCCUAACAACACUUUGAAGUAAUUCUUAUUGUCCUUACUUGACAUAUACAGGAAUAAAAACCUGACCAUUAGACCGAGCGUGGUGGCUCACGCCUGUAAUCCCAACACUUUGGGAGGCCGAGGCAGGCGGAUCACCUGAGGUCAGGAGUUUGAGACCAGCCUGGCCACCAUGGUGAGACCCCGUCUCUACUAAAAACACACAAAAAAUUAGCCGGGCGUGGUGGUGGGUACUUGUAAUCUCAGCUACCCGGGAGGCUAAUGCAGGAGAAUCGCUUGAACCCAGGAGGCGGAGGUUGCAGUGAGCCAAGAUUGCGCCAUUGCACUCCAGCCUGGGCAACAAGAGCAAAACUCUUUCAAAUAAACAAACAAAACCUAAGCAUUUGAGGGGUUUGGCCUGGGCAGUGGAGCUUGUGAGCUAUAUGAGCUGGAAUCUGAGUCAAGGCUGGGCUGGUGAAAGGAGUUCACUCAAGUUCCCAAGGUAUUCUGUCCUCCAGGACUCUGAAUCACCUGGGAGGAGAAGGAAUUGUGGCGGGCCUAACACCUUUUCUUUCCCAAACACCAAGAGCAGGUUCUUUCUGUUACAUCCAUUGAGGUCACAUUCUUGAAGUGCAUUUUGAGGAAGUCAUUAUUUUCGCUACAGCAGGGACUGAUGUAUCAGUCUAUUAGAAUUCAGAAAAAAGUAAGCAAACAAAAAACGUGUUGGAAUUAUUCUCUUCUAGCAUUUUGAAAUGUACAAUGGUUAAUGUUAACUAUAGCCACCAUGAUGUAUUGAAGACCAGGUCUUAUUCUUUUUAUCUAACUGUACAUUUGUACCCAUUAACCUAAUGCUCAUAGCAUCAAGAAAAGAUCAAUAUUUAAGGUGACAAAUAUCCCAAUUAUGCUGAUUUGAUUAUAUGAAUGUGUUGAAUUAUCAUAUGUACUCCCAAAAUAUGCACAUCUAAGAUGUAUCAAUAAAAAUAAAGACAAAAAUUAAAGCUUUUACAGUAGAAAAAAGGUUUUAGAGAAAUUAUGAUUACUUGAUUCACCUAAACUGACAGUCUUGCUUGGAAUGAAUUACUGCUUUUUGUAACAUAGUUUUAGAAGAGAGAUUCACAUUUAAUGUUACUUUGUGCUAAGCACUGUAAUCCAUGCCUGGGUGCUCACAGCGCUCCUCUGGGACCAGGCAUCACCAUCUCCUCUGUAAAAGGAAGGUCAGCCUGUUGCCAAGACCACAGGAUAAACGGCUUGGCUGAUUUAGGAAACCCAGUUGGUCUUAUGACAAAACAUGCGCAUUUGCCCUUCACCAGGUGAUUUUUCUGUAGGGUUAUCUUCAACAGUCCGACAAAGCUGUGUUCCACCAGCUCAGGCAGGCUGUGACCAGGAUCACCAGCCAUGUGGCAUCAGGAAGAAGGGGCUGUGUGGCCAGGCUCAAUCUCUGGUCCUGCAGCCUUCUGCCUUUGGCUUUCUGAAGCGAGCUGAACUAGAGAUUGGGCCCAGCUCGGCAGCGCAGUUUCAGGAGAGCCAGGAUACAAACCAUCCCAGUCUCUGUUCCCACAAAGGAGAAGCUAAACCAUUUUUUAUUUGCCCAUUCUAAGUGCUAAGUGAUAUGCAACUGCUUCACAUAAGCCUUCCAGCCUUCCAGCCGACUCUGCUUUCAGGAGAUAUCCUUAUGUCCCUUUUGCAUGGCUUAGGAGAGUGAAGCACGUGAGAAUUGAACGAGGGGUCAAGGGUCACAUAACACAUGAGCACGAAACCGGGACUCUCCUGGGGUAUCAGACCCCAAAGCCAGUGGUCUGCGCUUGAUCUUUGCUAACGUCCGAGAAGCAAUAAGUCCAGGGCUCUUGACACAUUAUUGUGCAUUUUACUUUGGGAGGGACUGUGGGUCCACUCUGCUUUUAACAGGAGGAAAUUAAAUAUUUACAUUUGAUUCCAGUUUGGCCCCAUGACUGUCCGGCUUCUUUCCUGUCAAAGGCCCAAAUUCCCUGUUUUAAAGUAGAGGGUGAAUUUGUGUAAUGAGGAUGGAUCGGGCACGUGUAGAACACACUCUUUCACCUGCAGAUUCACACUCCAAACACAAAGAAAUACUGGAUCAUAUAUGGUAUAUUUUAAAAGAUGCCAUAGGCAUACUUAAAAAGCACAACAGAAUUCUAUUUUCUCACGUCAGAGGGCAGAGUCUUAUGAGCUAUUGAGAGGAAAACUGUAUCUUAGGGGUUGAGAGCCUAACGUCUGCUUGGGGGUGUUUGUGGCCCUGGCAGCUGUUGUGUGCAGUGCACAUUAGAACUGAGCAGCUUUAUAAAGCCAGGAACAAGGGUAGAGUCCCUGUGUCUCUGAAUAGAAAUUAGCGAUGCUUAGCCUUCUGUACCAAGGAAUGCAUCACAAAAGCUAAUGCUGGGACUGGGCCUGGUGUGGGAUAGGAGUCACACAGAGGAGUCAGAACGCCAACUGUGGCUGGUGUAAGGGGCCUCCAUUCACACUGUCUUUGCUGUUUGGAAAAUCUGAGCAAGAAUUUAAGGUAAAAGCUGAUGUGGAACAGCUUGCAACCCAAAAGUCUCAAGCCCAGCAUAAAAAUCAUUGCUCCAGUGAAGAUGCCUGCAGAGCUCAAGGCAUUUCUGAGACUCCAUGGGAGAAUGAUUCCUAAGGAAGGUGUGCCCCCAGCACCUGUGGAGACUCAUCACCUUGAGGGCAAACAGACUCUGUAAAAGGAGAAUUCACCUCUAAGGAGCUGCAGACAAUAGAGGGAUUAAAAUGGGCCUUUGAUCAUUCAAAAAGCAUUUUAAAGGAAAAAAUAAAGUAACAUAAUCCAAAUUCCAACAGGAGACUUGAAAAAGAAGGUAAUAACAAAAUGGAAAAUAAAGUCACUGAAAUAAAGCAAGUGAGUUGGACUAUGAAUGUCUCCUGUCCAUUAGCUGUGUCCCCGGCUGCAAGGUCCAUGGGGACUGUGCCUCCCUUGACCUUGAAUCUCAAUGCCUUAGCAAAGUGCCUGGUUCUGGGUAGGUUCACAGUACACAUGUACCUCCCAAAUGGAUGGAUUGCCAACUUAAAUGUUCAUAGGAAGGUGCUAUUUUCAGGCACUUCAGGUGUGGACAUCGGUGUUGUCAGAUCUUUUCUGUUCUAGCCAGGCAUUGUGGACAUCACCUUACUAUGUGAGGGAACAAGCUGCAUUGGUGGAGAGGAAACCAGCAGGAGCACAAUAGUGACCCAUUUCUCUUGUCUUAUGCACUGCAGUGGAAAUAGCCCAGUGUGCAUGGUGGAUUUUAUUAUGGUGCCAGUAGAAAGAUAGGGGGUUUCCUCUAUGAGCUGGCUGACUUACAUGAGCUCAUUCUCUGCAGCAUUUCUCUAGCCAUCUCCUGUCACAUCGUUUAUUGUGUUCACUAGUCCUGUGCUAACGAGGAUCUUUGAAAAAUGACUGGUAUGGUAAUGAUCUACGGAACUUACUGUAGAUAGCAAUUAAAUAUCGUUAACGGCGGGUUACGCUGACACAUUAAAAGGCCUACAGGCUGCGAUUUAUGAAGACAGCUCUGCUGCCUCCUUUGUAUGUGAUGCAUUUCUCUGGUUUCGGCUUAGGCUGUCUGGUCUCAGAAGGGAAUGAUUUCCAGGCUUUCCCCAUCAUCACUCCAGUUGCCAGGCCACCCACAAUCACAUUAGCAAGCUUUAUUGUCCCUAUUGCACCUCCUAAUGCCCUCAGGGUGCUUGAGGUAGCUUUUAUCAAGGUAAGGCCUAGGUCAACAUUUUGUUGUGCAGAAAAGGCAUCUGCUUUCAGAGGAGAAAAUUUAGAUACAAUAUUGAGGUGAAUCUUAUAAGUGAUGUAAGAUAAUUUGAUGACAAGAAUUGAGAUUAUAUGCUGAGAUCUUACUGUCUUAAACUUUGUUGAUUUCUGAAAAUAAUAGAAAUGCAAUCCUAGCUAAAGGAAGAGAAGUAGUCUAGCUCACCAGUGGCCAGCAAACUCUGUAAAGAAGUAUUGCCUUCAUGCAGCAAUCUCACCUAAUAUGAGACUCCAGAUAGAAGAUAGCUCCUGAGAAGUCAAAACACAAACCAAUAUCAUGUAAAUUACUCUCACGUGAAAAAUAGACAAGAGAUAACCAACCCAGUCCCAACCGUCUCACACCCCCACUGGCCUCCUGCACUCAUGGAUGCCACAUUCUUCAACAUUUGUACUUCUGUUAACAGAGUUAAAGUAGAGCAAACAUAGGCUCUUUUACCAAGAGCGUAUGGACUAAAUACAGAUGCAAUGCUAAUAACCACAUGGGAAAAACAAGAUCCUGAGACACUGUUAUGUUUUUCUCCCUCUUUUGUGGCCAAGAGUGUGUGCUCUCUUGCCUUUGUAGAUUUUGCUCACGUUUUUGGGUGAUAGGACCAAAAGCAGUAGUGUCUAGGCCACUAGGAGACAAGGCAAACCAUUAUCUGUGAAAGCCUGGGUUUUCUGAGAGGAAGCAUGCUGGACACUGCCAGUAGAGGGAGAAGUCAUGGUGUGAAGUUUUCCAUGAUGAGAGAUAAGGACAGCUAGGGCAUGGGGAUGCAGAGGAUGUUCUUGUUGUUGAUGGUGUUGUGGAGGUUGUACCCCAAGUCUCUGGGAUAAGACAGCCCCAUGCACAUAGAGGUCAUGAAAAAUGUGAGGACCCUGGACACUGAGUGUCACGGCUUUGGGGACAGUGAUGACAUGUCCCUGUGUCCAAACAGCUCAGUCAGCUUAUCUAAAAGGGAUGGAGAGUACUUCUGUGGGAACAGUUGGAGCUGAAGAACAGAGAACAUUUCCUUUGAUGUUUGGACUCUACGGAAUCUUUGGGAAUUGUGUUCAAGUCCAGGAGGAAUGGCUGAAAACAUGAUUGAGAUAAAUUUGCAGCCAGGAGGUUGAAGACAAAUUAGGAUCUGAUUUUAUUCAACUGGGAGUAACCAUGGCCAAGCAUAAUUCUUCUGGUGGAUUCUGAAGUUAUUUGGAAUUUGCCCAUAAGAUGAAUUUUCCUGAAGAAGGAAGGAUGUGGAGGCUGAUACUGAGGCCCCAUUUCCACAUGUGAACUUCUAAGAAACCACAGCUUUCAUCCAGAGUGGAGAUGAAUGGCACUGGGGUCCACGUUGCCAGAAUGCCUGGGGACAAGGAAUGAGGACUUGUCACCCAAGGCACGAGAUCCAUAGUGGCUACGGGAAUGAAGCCACUGCCUUUGUGGAAAUGACUAAUUCACCCAAAUCCAAGGUGUUUUCCACAACUGAGAGGCCUGGGCUGAGGAUAGAGAUUUGAGCCUUAACUGAGACAUCCUACUGGGAAGUUGCAUCAGUGGUCAGUAUCUGAGGCCACAGAAAAUGUCACAUGAUGGUGUGUCACAGGGCUCCACAUUUAGGACAUUUGUGUACUCAAAGAGAAUCUUUGACGACCAUGACUCAGAGAAAUUUUUAAUGACUUAAAACAGGUUUUGGAUCAUGUUGAUGAUGACAGAUGGUGCAAGCCACCUACCUAAAUCCCUCUGGGGAGGGGUGGUAUUUCUGCAUUGUUCUCAGAGCAGAAAUGUGACAUGGAUGUGGAGGCUCUGGACAGUGAGAUGUGAAGCUGGAGGCAUGGCUUGGCCUCCCUAGAAUGGGUGUGGCCAGGGCAAAGCUGGGACAUCCUCAACCCAAAGGUUUGCAUAACUGGAUUUGAACUCCUUAUAGAUAUUCCUAAACAGUGGUGAUACGGAAGGGAGAGGAGGAGGAAAAAAGGAUGGCUCUUCAUCAAGAGCAAAAGCAAGAGAUUCAGAUAGGAGAUUUCACUUGGCUUUUCUAGUCUUGGGUGGGGACCCAUUAUGGAAGUGAAGAGCUCUGGAAUCUUCCAGAGAAACAAGCAUGGGUAUCCUUUAACAGGUCCCAGAUAGCCAGUUACCGCAGAACAAUGUCCUGUUACCAGAAGCUUAUUGCAGACCUUGUAACCUGAAUCAUUGUGUUGGCCCAGGGCACACCCAGGAGGGUGGCUUGGGAAGGAGAUUCCAGGCUGAGGUAAAUACCGACAUCUGAUUUCCUGACAUUGAGUAGGAAAGCAUUUCAGAGACAAGCUCCAAGAGCUUUGGAAAGGGGAACAUUCACCCACUUCCCACAAUUUAUAAGGGGGCUGGCAGUGGUUGUUUUGGGGAGGAUAAUAAUGGGAAAAGAGAACGGGGUAUGUUAUGGCACACAGAACCAAAAAUGAAGAUUCCUAAGUAGUAAUCUAUUAGUGAGGGAAUUCUUGGGCAAUUUCAAAAAACUCAAAACGUGUUACAGAGAGGAGCCCCUUGGACUUUGUAGGAGACUCGUUUGUCUAUCUGGCCCCAAGGCCCAGAAGUAGCUGACAAAGAGACCCAGUUGUCCCCUGGAUGCCAAACUUGGGGAGAGAAUGGUCCUGGGUGGCAGCCCCUCCCCAUCCAGCCUCAGUCAGAGCUCUCCAGCAAGUCAGCCUGCAGGUAGCUAUGGAGUUGCAGUGUAGUCCUGUUAUUAAUGGCUUUCUGCUUUGGCUGGAUUUCAGACAUAAAGAAGAGAAGAAGGAAAGGUCUGGGUGAUCUGCCUCUUCUGAUAACACUAAAGUUGCACACAUCACCUCAGCUCAUAUUUGAUGGGCUGGGACUUAGUCACUAAGCCACACCCAUCUGCAAAAGUGCUGGAAAGCGUUGCACUCUCUGAUGACCACAUGCCCAGCUAAAUAUUGAGGUCAUAUAUUCCUAUAUAAUAAGACAUAAGCAAAGUGCAGUCACUGAGAAUCACUAGCAGUUUACACCACGAGUAUCUUCACAGCCCAGAAAAGACACUGGGUUGAGUUAAAAUGAAAACUGGAAUAAAUACAAUGAGAAGAUAGAAAGCCUGCUGAGAACACUGGGGUACUUGAGUGGAACUUUAAACAGUGUCUUUGCUAAUGUGUAUGGUAACUGUUCAGAUUGUCUGUUUCUUUAAGCUAAUUGUUUUCUGAUUGUUGAAGCAAUAAUAACUCAUAUCUUGCUUGAGAAAAAAUUAAAAAGUAUGAAAAAUCAAAUAUAAUUAUCACACUACCAAGAGGUAUUACUGCUUCCGUGUUGAUAUGUAUUCUUCUUGUAUUUUCUACAGAUACGCACCCACACAGACACUUUCAUGUUUAUAAUAGAAUUCGAAUGUAUAUAUUUAUAUCUUAUAACUGGAUUUCUUUCAUUGAAAUAAUUUGAUCAGGUAUCUUUUCUCUUGGAUGCGUCCUAACAGUUCUUUCUUUCUCUGAUAGAGCCAGAUCAAGGAAAGAGACAGGAAAGCAGAUGAUUUUACCUGCCUUCCCUAAGUGCACUCGGGAAGAGAAGGAUCAUCUCAAAAAGGGUUAAGGAAUGAGAUCAUGGAAAUCACUUACACACGCGGUCGCGGCUUGGACUUGGCUAGUGAGGCCGGCCUGCCCACUCUGCUUCCAUUCACUCAGACACAGCUUGGGCUUUUCCUCCAAGUGCUGGUAGCAGUCAUUUAUGAGGGAGGAAAGGAGCAGAAUAAACACACUUCUCAGCUCCCAGGCACUCUGUGUGUGUAGACAGAGGCUCGGGUGGAUGAGAAACCUCAGCACACCCAUGAUCUUUGUCAAGGCUGGAGACUUGCAGUGCACACUCCAGGCCUGUGGAAAUGGUUCCACCUGGGUCCCUCUAUUGCUCCUCAGCUGCCACAUUAGGGCACCUCGCCCAAGUCCACGUGUGGGAUGUGCCUGCCUGUGGCCCACCUAACGUAUGCAGUCUGUCUGGAGUGCCAGGCACAGGCUCCUCACGUGGGCUUCAGCUGGAAUUGAAAACUGCAUUUCUCAAGAAUCACAUUGCCUUUGCCUCGUAGGCUCAGUUGGAUCUCCAAGUGGCGGUACCGUUCUCUCCACUUCAAAAAUACACAGAAACAUGUGGAAAUGUUCUGUCAUCCAGAAUGAAAAGCAUGUGCACCAAAUUUUCACAGACCUGAUUCGAAUGUAGAUAAAAGUGCAAAAUCCAGAGGAGGGAACACGCUAUAGAAAUCCUGUCUUCUAUACUAUAAUUUAAUCAUCGUGUGCCACAGAAUGUCUUUGCAUAAAUUACAACCACAAUAAUAGCAUCACUUUCACAAAAGGUGGCCUCUAAUCGAUUUGACUCUCCAAGAGAUGGCUGGGUUUUUCAAAGCAGAGAAAUGAUGACCUGCAGUCUUAAAGAGCUGUUGAUUGCACCUGGGGCUCCCGUGGCCGGCGCCCAUCGAGCAGCCCAUCCUGGCUGUUCCCUUGUUCAGCUGAUUUUCUUUUUUAUCUUGACAUUUGCUAACCGCUUGGUUUUUAUUUUCCGGGAAGAGAGGAUUAUUGGCAACUGGCACCACCCCCAUGUCUGGAGGAGGGACGUUUCUAGGAUGACCCCCAGAGUGGAGAAAUAGCCGAGUGCUUUGGAGUCUUCUCAGAUGUGGACGAAAACAGUUCGUGAGCUGCGCUGAGCAGUUCCGGAGCCCUGGCUCCCUUUCCCCGGGGCCUAAGCCCCCAAGAAGAGAGUCUUUUUCAGGACCAUGGGAGCAGGUUUUAAAAGGCUUUCUAUUGAAGCGAGGCCGUCAGCCAGCCGUGCGUGUCCGCAUUGUGGUGGUCCCAGAGCCUUAUGGACAAUCCUUUGAAAGAAUAGGGUUGGGAAGAUUCUCAGGACAGAAGCGGCUAAUUUCCAUCCUUGGAGCUUUAUCUCACAAAGGAUAUUUGAUAGAAAGAAAAAAUGGAGUCUGUGGAAGCUUUGCUCCUAUUUCCAAAUGGGUUGACUCUGGAUGCAAAGGAAUAUUUUCACAUUUUUCCCAAUAGAGGAAAGCUUUUAGUGCCAAAAUCCUCAAAGGAGAAUGAACAUCACACAUUACACAUGUAUGUAUAAGGGUAGAAUAAUAUGGUACAAAAUCCAGUGAGUACAAGCACACAAUGGGCAUUCAGUACAGGUUAAAUGAAUAUGCAAGAAAAAUUCAAAGUUGUUGUUGCUGUUUAUAAGGGUGGUGAUUAUUAAUAGAUGCAAAUGUAUACUCCCUUUUGUAAUCACAGCAAGGUAAAAGUCUUAUCUCUGAUCAUUACCAUGAGGACACUUAAAUAUUUAGCCCUGGGGACAAAAUGGUUUGUAGGCAGGACGUCCUGUGUGUUUAUGCACACAUAAAAUGCCGCCCUGGCCCCAGGACUGCAAGGCCUCUGACUGCAUCAUUUACAUUCAGGGGUGGUCCUGAUCAACAUGGCCCCAUAGAAUAAUAGAGGGAAUUUCAGAUAGUACAGCGUUAGAUAAUAAGCGCUUUCCACUGACUCUGUUUACAUGUGGAAAUUAGAAGCGCUGAGUGAAAAAGAGUAGUGAAAAUAAAGACAGGAAGUAUAUACACAACAAACAAUUUUUCCUCUCUGCAAAUCGGAUUAUUCCCUUGCGCACCCCCUGCAACCCCCAUCUAUGAUGUCAAACUCAAUGGACUGUUGAACUAAUAGCCUGGGAGUCACCAGCGUGAGAGUGUGUAUGUCCACGCUGUGCAACUUGAAUUAGGCUGGCCACCACGGCUGUGUACAGCUACCCCAGGAAGAGCCCCUCCCCUCCUCAGCAUUUCAGUGGAAAACGUGCUGACUGGGACCCAGCUACAGGAAUCACAUUUGGGCAGAGAGAAUGGCUUAUCCUUUUCAUGAGGGGUCUUGACUCAAGAACACUUGCCAAUUCUGCUUGACCGUUUCCCAUUCUUUACGGUUUUUCCUAUCACUCCUUAGACUAAGAAAGAAAAAUCUGUAGGAAUGAUUCGGUGGGAUUUCUCUUUUGUUCCUAAAUAAACCUUAUCCCUGGAUGAGCUCGUUCACACUAGGGAAGUUACUACCACUGGCUUUGAAGCCAGGCAGAUCUGGGUGUUCCUUCCCAUGUCUUUAUUUGCUUUGUGGGGGAUCUUUUCCCAGCCUUUCUGCUUUCAUCCUUCUUAGUGAGAGCUUCUUCAGCUGCAGAACAGGGGCAAUAAUGCCUACCUUGCUGGGUUGCAGCAGAGAAUGCUGCUUAUGCAGGAAAAUAAAAAAACACAUAGCACACAAUGGGAGCUUAAUACAUAAGAAUUAUAAACAGUCUUUUGUGUAUAUAUCAAUGUAUUUCAUGUCCUUAAUGUUUAUUUAAAGCAAGUACAUUCUUUUGAAUUAAGCAUAAAAAGGUCAUAAAAUGCCAGAGAUGUGCUUAUUUGAAAUGUUUGCAAUGCUUUGCAAUUGUUUUAAAAUAAGGAGAUGAUAUAACAGGGUGUUACCUCCGCCACUAAUUAGUUACGUAAUCUUAGAUUAUGUCACUUCCCUGGGUCUCAGUUGUAAACAGUUGCUUAAUAAAUAAUGUUUGUUUUGCUUUCAUCAAUAAUCCAGAAUUAGGCAGUGAAAUAUGGAAGCUACAUUGGUAGGAGCUUCUGUGAUGGUCAGGUCCUGGAGGAAAGUGUGAGUUGGAACCUCCACCUUCCUCCCUACCAACGCCCUCCAGAAACACUGCUCACUGGAUGCAGGGGCGCUUCUCCUGUUUCUAGUUCACUUGGUCUAGAGGCCAGCCAGGUAGGAGUCAUCCUGUUCUUGGAGGCAAUGUGGCCCAGACCCAGGCUCUAGCAGCAGGUCUGACUGCAGCACUUUCUCCCUCGGGGUGGCUCCCAGUCCCAGUGUGGUGGGCCCACCCUUCCUUACCACCAGGCGCCUCUCCUGGAAGCUGCGAAAACCUUCCCCCCUUUCAGGCACUGGGAAUCAGCAUUCUUUGGCGUAUGCCUGGAUUUGCCCCAGAAUUAUCCUGCAAAGUCUCUCCCCUCCUGACCUCAAAUGUUCCUGUCCCUACAACCAGACGGUAGACCCCAGGGCCUCCGGGGCUCCUUCCAGUGCCUCCUUGUCAUCUUUUGAAUCACAGCUCAUGAGGCAACCCACACAGGCAGGCUGGAGAGGAGUGGCAAGAAGCUCACCUUCGGACAGUAGUGAGCAGAGCAACAGAGGCCCCCAGAGACUUCGCACAACGGAAAAGAGAUCAACUCCCGCAUUUGCAGGGGACGUGAAAGUGCAAUACUGUGAGGAACAAAAGGAAGCCUCAUCUCUGGAAGCCGGGAGGAAAAACAGUCGGUGUAGACAGCAGCGGCAGGGACCAGAGCUGACCAGAAGGCUGGGUCCCAGCAACAAUUAGAGACAGGCAGCAGCUGAGGCCCCUUCUCUGAGAACCAUUUCAAUUGCACAGUGGCCACAGAAGGCUCCAUUGGCCCGGCAGCCAGCUCUGCAGAGCCAUUUGUCCACAAGGAAAAUAAUAGCCCCGGCCUCAUUGCUUUGGGCUGCAGGGAGGACAAUGACCCACCAUGAAAAGAGUUAAAAAGAUUCUGGGGAAGGGGAAAGGCAGGCCCACACGGUGGCAAUUCAAGAUCUUUUGGAUGCCGUGAGCGUGUUCUUUAAUUAAGCCCCUCUUCUUCAGCUCAUCCUGCAGAAACGCACCUGCUUCCCAUCUGCCAUCCAAAACGGCAAGCACAAGAAUGACUUCACACUGUCACUUUCAGAGUUCCGCUGUGGCCCACAGUGAUUUUUCAAGAAAGGCAGCCACAGACUCGCUCGCGCUUUCUCUUUCUCCUUUCCUCUGAAAGACUCUAUAAAAACCACAUUAAAAAGUGUGUGAGCCAAGCAAUUUCAUUUAUCAAAGGAAGAAGGUCAUCCAUAGCAUUCAUUCUAAGAAUAUCAGGCACACGGCCAGCCCUGGACACAAGGCAUGAAGACCAGAGGGCCCUUUAUUGACCUAAUCUCUAUUUUGUCGCCAAACUGCAUCUGUGUCUGAAAGCUGGGACACACAAUAUUUCCCUCUACCAAAAUAAUUUUAUUUUCUGCAGCAGCAUGUAACAAACAAUUAAUGGUGGUAACAUGGGCUUCUGUCAUUUUCUGAACAACCCAGUUCUGUUUGGUGUUACUGCAGUGGUUGUUAUUUUGGGUGGUUCUGUGCUUAUUCCAUUCUGCCAAUUGGUCCCAUUCGCAUGGGCGUGAGCCCGUGCCGUCAUCUACCACCUUGGAAUCCAUGUUAUUGCCAGAACUGUGUGGGGCCUUGCUUGAGGGCCUGUCCCCUGUCCUCUUCACAGAUGUUUCUGUGCCUUCAGGGAGAGGACUGAUUGUGCUGUCUCCCUCUCCCACCCGUGUCUGCUGUCUCCAAAACUAAGGGAGGCUGCGGUGAAACCAGCCUGGCCCAGGUUCCUCUGGUGCCUGCCGUGGCUCAAAUUAUCCAAACUACAGUGGCUGAUUCCCAGCGACCCAUCCCUUAGUGCCCUUGUGCCCCGUUGAAGAAGUGGCCCAUGUUAUGAAUAGGGAAGCUAAGGUCAUUAAGAAUUUGUGCAGGCGUACAAAGAAAGUGCAAGUCAGAGAUCCUUGUCUCAGCUACUUUGCUUGAAAAAUGACUCCAUGCUCUGAGAUGCUAUAAAUGGAGCAAACAGUGUGAAGUGGUUCUCCCCCUCCAAGAAACUGCCCCCUGAUGCGUUCCCCCAUUAGACACCUGCUCCUCCAAGCCUGGUCUUCUCUCUGCAACCACUUCCCCUAUGCCUCUCCCCACCCACCAUGCAUGACUCCUUGUCACACACAUGAUCUCUGGUCCUACCUUGCACUUGGUGCUGGGGGCUGUGAUUCCCUCUGCCUCUGUCUCCCCACAUCGUCCCUGACAUCACCUUUCACCGUGCACUGGUCUCGCUUCCUCGGGAACUCUAUGAAUGGCCUUGUUCUCUGAUUAUUUGAUUAUUCCAUUAUCAACCCAAAGCUCACUGGGUCUAUGGGGCUGAGAGGUCGUUUUUAUUACAUCAUUUUAAUUAUUCAGAUAAAAGACUCGCAGGCACAGAUUUAUCACCACUGCCUAAAGAAAAGCAGAGACACACAUAAUUCCAUUUUGAAAAUCCAUUCUUAAAAGCAAAAAUAUGAUUCAGUUGAAGGUAUUCAGAAAAAAAAAUGCUCAUUGAAAAACCCUGAUGAUUUUUAGCAUUUCAAAUAAAUUGUGUACAGUUACGGUCAUUUGUUAACUAUUUUGGAGACUGCGAGCUGAUCAUUAUCUCUCUUUUUCAGAUAACAAAAUGUAUCUACCUUCUCCCAGAGUGUAAACUAAUCUGGUGGCUGGAAAAAGCAAACAAACAAACAAAGAUCUGUUAAGAAAGAUCUGAUUUUUCAAAUGGCGCAUACCAUUCCUUGAAACAGAGGUGAUGAAUAGGUAGAGACAAAAGCAUCAAACAUCCAGGCAGGACCUGUUUAUCUCUGGGCAGAAAUCUGUUCAAUUCCAUGAUAAAACAAGGUUUGAAGUCAGGGAUUCAAUUUCACAAACUAAACAGACGUGUGCACACACAUGUGCACACUGUGCAUGUCCCAGUGCACACACGCAGAACCCAUUUCGUAGGGACACACAUGUGCACACUGCAUGCCCCAGUGCACACACGCACAACCCAUUUCGUAGGGACACACAUGUGCACACUGCAUGCCCCAGUGCACACACACACAACCCAUUUCAUAGGGACACACGUGCACACUGCAUGCCCCAGUGCACACACGCACAACCCAUUUCGUAGGGACACACAUGUGCACACUGCAUGCCCCAGUGCACACACGCACAACCCAUUUCGUAGGGACACACAUGUGCACACUGCAUGCCCCAAUGCACAGACACACAACCCAUUUUGUAGGGUCCUAGCAGAAUUUUCUCUGUAGGAAAAGCACUCAAUCUUGCUGAUUUGUGGCUGUUUCUCCGGUUUGCAUCAGGUUGGGCCUCAUGACACAGGACUGGCCUAAGCAUUAGGUCAGAGCUGGAAUAUGCCAAGUCUUCCCCAUCCCUUCUCCAUUCCCAGGGCUGAGUAGUGGUUAGAAGGGCGAGCACAACACACCCAGACACUUAUCCCCUCUAUGUCUUCUGCCUUUCCUCUUUCCCCUGUAGGUGUUUCUUCUUAGAGUAGCUUUUUAAUCAUGCUCACUGGUUGUCUGCUUCUUAAGACUGGCCAUGUUUCACAAUUCUUCCAAUUGCAUUACUUCCCCUAAGGCUCUCCCUUUUCCUGGAUAUCUCAUUGACACCUGUAUUAGAGUUUUCCAGAGAAACAGGACCAAUAGCAUAUAUAGGAAUAUGCAGAAAGAUAUUUAUGAUGAGAGAUUGGCUCAAGUAAUGGUGGAGACAGAGAAGUCCCACCGUCUGCCACCUGAGAGCUAGAGGCCCAGCAAAGCUGGUGGUGGUGUUCCAGUCCAGGCCCAAAGGCCUGAGAACCAGGAUCACUGACAUGCAAGGACAGAUGAAGAUGGAUGUCUCAGGUCAAGCAGAGAGGAAAUUCACCCAUCCUCUACCUUUUUGUUCUAUUCAAGCACUUAACAGAUUGCAUGGUGCCCAUCCACAUUGGUGAGGGUGAUCUUCUUUGCUCAGCUUACUGAAUCAAAUGCCAAACUCUUCCAGAAGGACCUUCACAGGUAUGCUCAGUAGGAAAGUUUUACCAGGUAUCUGGGCAUCCCUAAGACCAGUCACAUCAACUAAACCAUCACAACACCUAAGACUUGAAUUUCCAAUUGUCUUCUGGUGUUUGUAAAACACUGUUAGGGAGCUCAUCCCUCUCUGUUGAAUCCUGGACAGUUUCAAAGCCUGCUGGUCAGCUCUGUCCCAUUCUGCAGGCAUCACGACCUCCAACCAUCCAAAUAAAGUAAGUGUCCUUGCUUGCUCUACUUCUGAUCUGUCCUUCACAUCCUGCGUCUUCUCCAAAUUACCUAUGUGUAAUCUAUGGCAUUCUCACAAUUAGCCCAAACUGGCGAUCCAGUCCCUACACACACACACACAAACACAGACCCUAAAUUCCCUUAAUCUGUUUACUGAAUCUGCUUCUUCUUCUGCUGAAACAUUUCUGGAAUCCCCCUUUCCUCUCAUGCACCGCCAUUGCCCAAGUUUAGGUAUUCAUCAAUUCUUGCCAAUGUGAUUUCUAAUGCACCUAAUGGGUUUCUUAUAUCCAGGUACCCCCUUACUCUCCAGUCUGUCUUCCACUCUGCCCCUAGACUUGUUUUUCAUAUAUAAAGCUCUUAUUUUCCAGCACAUAUAAAAUAAGCUUCUUAGCAGGGCACUCGAGGCUUUGCAAAUGUGCUGUCAACCACUCCAUGCACCUGUGCAGAUUCCUAGUCGCUAUUCCCCUCUCUUCAACACUCAUGGCCCAUCCCCAAGAGGCUGCCUUCAGGCCUUUUCAUCUUUGCACAUGUCCCUCCACUAGGAAUGCCUUUCCUCUCCCAGGCUUGGCAAAGUACAUUUUCAAGGCCUCUUGUAGUGCUGUGCGCUGUAUGCUGCAGGUGAUAUGCCCCAUGCUUCAGGCAGUUUGGUCUUGUAAGUGCAAGUAAGGGGCUUAUCACAAGCCCUCUCACUUGCCUUGAACUCGGGAUGUCUGACCCUUUCUCAUGUGUAGCUUGGUGCAGGCUCAGAGUAGAAUGAGGUAGGUGGGCAGUGCUGAACAUGGAGAUGGUUCUGGGGAGCUUCUGUGUGACUAAUAUCGCAAGGCCUCAGAUAAAGCCCCCUGCAACCUCUCCUUUCCCUAACUGGUCUGAGCCAGGGGAAAUGGCAUCCUUGCCGUCAUCACUACCAUGCUGUGUUCCUAUUUGCUCCAAGGACACAAUCAGCAUCAUUACCCCAUUCUCCUCAAAGCACAUUCCAUUCAUUUUCUUCUUCAAGGCAGUGUUUUUUAUCCCCAUUCCACAAAUGAGGAGAUGAAGAUUCAGACAGAGCAAGAAAUUUUUCAAGGUAGCGAUUCACCCUCUGAUUCUCUGGACUAGAGUCAUCCUGUGGAAGCUCUGCCUCCCUCCUCUGGUCUCUCUCUUUCCCGCAUCCACUUUCCUCAAACACGUGUCACCUCUGUUUCAUUCUCUGGCCACCUACCCCCACCAUCCUUUCUUGGCUCAGAUCUGAAGUACUCCAGACUACCAGAUUACGUAAAAAUUCAAAGGCAUGAGAAAAUGGCAAGCAUGGAAACAAAUUCUUGGUAGAGAUGAGUGGCAACCUCAAAAAGAAGCCUCCUCUCCCCAUAAAUUCCUCAGUGCCCCAUCAAUCUCCAUCAAUCCAUACAAGACCAGCCUCACUCUGACCACCCGGGUCUUCCACAUACUAUUGUUUUCUGCAACUUGAACAAAAUAAUGGAUUGUAGUUGAUAUUCUCCAGGGGAUUUGACUACCCUCACAUAAAAUCUCUAGUUAAAAAGAGCUGAUUUAAGUCAUACAUACAAAAACAGCAUGAUAGCAUGCAAUGUUUAUCAAACCUGAGUGGAAAAGGAUUGCCUGGAAGGCUUUUUGAAAAUUGUAUCCAUUCUCAUCUCUACUGAUGGUGCCUGAGUAGGUCUGGGCAGAAUUCUUGGAGUGUCAGGGGAUUCCUGAAGGAGGUCAACAGGAAUCUCACUGGCGAAAGAAGAACUGACUUUGGAUUUAGACAGACCUUGGUUCAGACCUUACCUUUGCCAUAUGCAAACAUUAGAAUUUUGAAAGAAUUGCUCAUUUUAAUUUGACUUUUCAUUUCAUUUUGAAAAUAAAAACUUCCCUUUUCAUUUUAUUUUGACUUUCAGUUUUUUCUCUUAGAAAACAAAUCAAAAUGAAACCUACCUCAAGGCAUUGUUGCCAGACCCAAAUAAAAUCAAUUACAUUUCAUGAAAUAAAAUAAUCAUCCUAUGUUGGUUUUCAAAUAAAUGGAAAGUUGCUUUUUUCACGUCAGAGUGAAUAUUUUAUAAAAGUAUAAUUACACAUAAAGGAAAAUAUAAUACAUUGAGAAAGUGGUUGUUUUAUUUAGUUUGAGAAUUACAUGCUAUUAAUGUAUUUGUAUCAUUAGAAAUUUUGCAGAGAUCCCUACAGAAAAUAAUUAUAACAAUUUCCUUUUAUUUCAACUUCGACAAUGUGGUAGCAGGUAUCCUGAAGGUGCUGCCUCUGACACCUCCUGGAAAUUCUGUGUGCAUGACUAGAAGCAUUAUUUGAAUGCUUGGCUGAGUUCCGGAGAGGGACUCUGAGCAGCCAGAGGGAAGAACAAAGUGUCGGGAGAUACUGGGAGGACACAGGAAUGCAGGGGACAGGAAUGCUUUUCCAAUUUGUGCAUUGGGGAAUUGGGGGCAAUCACCACAGGAGACAAAAGUUGGGUGCUUGAAUCCUUGGGUCAGAAAUCAAAACUUACUCCCACCUUCUGCUCCACCUACCCAACUAAGCCUGGCCCUGGCUGGGCUACACCCUCACUGAAAAGUAUGCAAGAAAAAAACCUGCCUACUAGCUCAGAGGGCUGGAAUGAAUCCCAGGCUGUGUCUACGUGGGUGUCAGCGGGGAUUGAGUAAAAUACAGGCGGCGGGAACUUCCCUGAACAUUUGUUACCAUGGACCUAACUCAUAAAGGAUUAGGGCUGGAACUGAGAUUAUCAAGGUUGUGAACCUCUGGCGCACCUGCUGGAAACACAUGCAAACCACUCCUGAAAAAUGAACUCCCUGGCAUCCCCACACCCCAAAUUCAUGUGGAACAAGUAUGCUUAAAAUGCUUAAAGACGUUUUAAAAAGGAAACGUAGUUGUCAGAAAAGACAAAGGAUGCUUCAAAAUACAAGAUAGAUUUUAGAAAAAAAUCAAAUGGAACCCUUUAAAAAUGUAAUCGUUGAAAUUGGGAUAAUUCAAAUGAGAGGAACAGCACAUAUGAUGCCCAUGAAAAAAAGAAUUAAUGGGUGGUAGAAUAGAUUAGAAUAAUUUAUCCCAUAUUGAACAAAAAGAGAUACAGAGAUUUUACCUCAUAGUUUACCUGUUAGAAACCUCAUAGUUUACCUGUUAGAAACCUCAUAGGUUACCUGUUAUAAACCUACCUCUAAUUAGAGGACCAAAGAAAGAAAACAGAAAAAAGUGGAAGAGAACCAAUAUUCAUAGAAAUAAUAAAUAUUUUUUCCCACAACUUAUGAAAGAAUGGAGUCUGGAGAAUCAGGAAUCUUAGUAAGUCCUAAGAAAAAUAAGUCCUAUUGAGUACAUACCUAAACUCAUUACAGUGAAAUUACAUGCUACCCAAUACAAGACAUGAUUAAACACACACACACACACACACACACACACACACACACACACACACCCUGAGAUAAAACAGACUCCCAAUAAAGAAAAACAAAUUAGUCUGAUAGCAGACUUCUCAACAGUCAUCAGGGAGGCUGGGGUUUACCUUGACUGCUUAAAUUAAAGUCCAUUCCCAAGGACAUCUCAAAUGGCCAAGUAACCAGUCCCUGCUUGUUUAUAGAGUGUGGAAGUUGUUUAGAUUUGCUAUGGACCACCUCUCUACCUCCACCUCACUGAGCUCUGAGGCAAAUGGAUUCCCCUAUUGUAAACUAGGAAUGAGUGUCUGAAAGAAGCCUUUUCUGAUUCCCUGUAAAAG
rnacentral:lncRNA from 1 species